rnacentral:misc_RNA from 1 species
GAUGAAGAACGUAGCGAAAUGCGAAAAGUAAUGUGAAUUGCAGAAUUCAGUGAAUCAUCGAAUCUUUGAACGCACAUUGCGCCCGCCAGUAUUCUGGCGGGCAUGCCUGUCUGAGCGUCAUUUCAACCCUCACGCCCCUAGGGCGUGGUGUUGGGGAUCGGCCAAGGCCCGCAAGGGACGGCCGGCCCCUAAAUCUAGUGGCGGACCCAUCGUGGCCUCCCCUGCGAAGUAGUAAUAUAUUCCGCAUCGGAUAGCGAUGAGCCCCUGCCGUUAAACCCCCAACUCUUUCAAGGUUGACCUCGGAUCAGGUAGGGAUACCCGCUGAACUUAAGCAUAUCAAUAAGCGGAGGA